CUACGGGUCGCAGCAGUCAAGAAUCUUCCUCAAUGGACGAAAGUCUGAAGGAGCAAUGCCGCGUGAUCGAUGACGCUUUUCGGAGUGUAAAGAUCUUUUAUCAGGGACGAAUUCGUGACGGUACCUGAUGAAUAAGUCACUGCUAACUACGUGCCAGCAGCAGCGGUAAUACGUAGGUGGCGAGCGUUACCCGGAUUGAUUGGGUGUAAAGGGUCCGCAGGUGGCCCCAACAGUUAUUGGUCAAAUCUUGAGGCUUAACUUCAAGACUGCCAAUAAUACUUCGGGGCUAGAGACUGGGAGAGGCAAGCGGAAUUGCCGGUGUAGUAGUAAAAUGCGUUGAUAUCGGUAGGAACACCAAAAGCGAAGGCAGCUUGCUAGAACAGUUCUGACACUCAGGGACGAAAGCAUGGGUAGCGAAUGGGAUUAGAUACCCCCGUAGUC
rnacentral:rRNA from 1 species